rnacentral:tRNA from 1 species
GUUCCAGUGGCGUAGUCUGGUAGCGCGCACGACUGAUAAUCGUGAGGUCGCAGGUUCAAAUCCUGUCUGGAACA